rnacentral:rRNA from 1 species
UACGUAGGGGGCAAGCGUUGUCCGGAAUCAUUGGGCGUAAAGAGCGUGUAGGCGGCCCGGUAAGUCCGCUGUGAAAGUCCAGGGCUCAACCCUGGAAUGCCGGUGGAAACUGUCGGGCUAGAGUCCGGAAGAGGCGAGUGGAAUUCCUGGUGUAGCGGUGAAAUGCGCAGAUAUCAGGAAGAACACCCGUGGCUAAGGCGGCUCUCUAGUACGGUACUGACGCUGAGACGCGAAAGCCAGGGGAGCGAACGGG